GCCGGUGUAGCUCAGCUGGUAGAGCAGUGCAUUCGUAAUGCAAAGGUCGUAAGUUCAAGUCUUAUCACCGGCACCA
rnacentral:tRNA from 1 species